rnacentral:rRNA from 1 species
CUACGGGACGCUGCAGUGAGGAAUAUUGCACAAUGGGGGGAAAAAGGAGGCAGCAACGCCGCGUGGAGGAGGACGCCUUUCUUUUUUCAAACUCCUUUGAGGGGAAAAGAAAAUGACGGUAGCAUAUGAAUAAGCACCGGCUAACUCCGUGCCAGCAGCCGCGGUAAUACGGAGGGUGCAAGCGUUACUCGGAAUCACUGGGCGUAAAGGACGCGUAGGCGGGUUGGAAAGUCAGGUGUGAAAUCCUACAGCUUAACUGUAGAACUGCACUUGAAACUUCUAAUCUAGAGUAUGGGAGGGGGAGAUGGAAUUAGUGGUGUAGGGGUAAAAUCCGUAGAUAUCACUAGGAAUACCUAAAGCGAAGGCGAUCUCCUGGAACAUUACUGACGCUAAGGCGUGAAAGCGUGGGGAGCAAACAGGAUUAGAUACCCGCGUAGUC